rnacentral:rRNA from 1 species
GACGAACGCUGGCGGCGUGCUUAACACAUGCAAGUCGAACGAUGAAGCCGGAGCUUGCUCUGGUGAAUUAGUGGCGAACGGGUGAGUAACACGUGAGUAACCUGCCCUUGACUCUGGGAUAACUGCUAGAAAUGGUGGCUAAUACCGGAUACGACCCUCGGAGGCAUCUCCAGGGGGUGGAAAGAAUUUCGGUCAAGGAUGGACUCGCGGCCUAUCAGCUAGUUGGGGAGGUAACGGCUCACCAAGGCGACGACGGGUAGCCGGCCUGAGAGGGUGACCGGCCACACUGGGACUGAGACACGGCCCAGACUCCUACGGGAGGCAGCAGUGGGGAAUAUUGCACAAUGGGCGCAAGCCUGAUGCAGCAACGCCGCGUGAGGGAUGACGGCCUUCGGGUUGUAAACCUCUUUUAGUAGGGAAGAAGCGAAAGUGACGGUACCUGCAGAAAAAGCACCGGCUAACUACGUGCCAGCCGCCGCAGUAA